CUACGGGAUGCAGCAGCCGAGAAUAUUCCACAAUGGGCGAAAGCCUGAUGGAGCGACGCCGCGUGCAGGAUGAAGGCCUUCGGGUUGUAAACUGCUUUUCUCUGGGAGAAACUUCGGUGAUAGUACCAGGGGAAUAAGGGGUUGCUAACUCUGUGCCAGCAGCAGCGGUAAUACAGAGACCCCGAGCGUUAUCCGGAUUUAUUGGGCGUAAAGCGCGUGUAGGGCGAUUGAUGUGUCUGAAGUUAAAUCUCAGGGCCUAACCCUGAGCCUGCUUCGGAAACUGUCAAACUAGAGGGCGUUAGAGGCAGAUGGAACAGCCGGUGUAGGGGUGAAAUCCGUUGAUAUCGGCUGGAACACCAAAGGCGAAGGCAUUCUGCUGGGACGUUCCUGACCCUGAGACGCGAAAGCGUGGGCAGCAAAAAGGAUUAGAUACCCUAGUAGUC
rnacentral:rRNA from 1 species